AGUGACACCGCUAAGGGCCAGUGUGCUAUCUGUGAGGGUUUUUUGGACGUUUGGAUGAACAGAAGAAGUGAGGGUUGAACGAGACCCGAGUAGAAACUACUGUGUGUGUCCAUGACUCAGCCUUUAAUUCCAAAAGAAAUUGUUGCUGCUACCGCUGACGCCUUUCCGAAGAUAUUGAGGUUGUAGCCCAGAACUGGUGCUCCUCCAUCAUGAACCGGCGGGGUCCAGCUCACUGUCAUGGCGUCCUUGGUGACAUCAGACACUUGAAGCUGGGACGCUGUGCCUGGAGGCUCUAAGUGGAUUUCAGCAAGCCACACUCCAUCCACCUUCUCAUCAUCCAAGACAACACAGAGCUCCGCAGGGUUGCCCGUAGGACACUGAGUGUCUGACAUCCCACUCUUCACUGAGGCAAAACGUUCUGACAGCAUGACAGAAAACAUCAUGACAGCAAAGAAGAACAGAGCAAUGGAGCUUCAGUUUGUGCAGGGGAGUCAAACGGCACAUAGCUAUGUGGAGAUGCCGUGGGCGGCUUCCCUCGUGACCGAAGGCCAUCGUCGGUGUGGUGAUGACUGACUUUUUCAACAAGACCCUUGUCCGCCAUGAUGGGAGGAGCUACCCGGCCAGCCAGCAGGAGGGCGUCGUCGUAUUGCUCCCCAUGGACGCACGUCACACGCCGAACAUUUUCUGCUGCCUCCUCUGCCAGCCAGGCCAGAAGAACUGCAAACUGCUGAAGAAGUUGCUUGCCUCAACAUCUCUUUUCGUUUUGUUCAGGUUUUUUCUUACUCUUCUUUCAGUUGUUUUAUUAUUUGUUAAAAAAAAAGUCCAACUUACUUGUGACAGCAAAGCGGUUUCUAACAGACAGUUGAGUAGUUUCCACAAGUUUCUUGCCCAGCUGCUUCUUGACCAAAUAUUCACCCAAGUGAUGUCCUUAGUCCGCAUCCGCGCUGUUCCCCGUCUCAUCAGACUCCUGUCAGCUUGGUAUUCACUUAGGUCUUCUUCUUCUUCUUCUUCCCCAUGUACGAACCACUCCCGGGAAACAUGGUGUAAUCAUCUUUGCACAAAUAAGGCACUGAUCUGUGCAACAUCGGUCGGGUUCACGGUGUCCCGGUUUGGAUGAGCAAAAUCAUCGCUCGUAUCUCCUACUGGCCUCCACGGAGCAUCCUCUCCGGGAUGUGCAUUAGAACAUUAACAUUCUUUAAAGAAGAUGUGUUGACGGAGGCUUUGUAGCAGUCUCUGAAGCUGGUAUCCUCAUGGGUGCUAGCUAGAUAGAACAUUUACAUGUUGUGCGCUUAUUCUGAGAACAAACAUGUACGGAUUUUUCACCUCAGCUACACACAGUCAAGUCUACAAUUGUCGGAUUUGCGGUGAAUCUUCUACAAUAUGAUCGAUAGAUAGGUAGGUAGUAUAUAGAUAGAUAGCACAAAGGUGUCUACCAGACCAAAACCUCUCCUCUGCAUGGAAGAACAAGCUCGAGACAGACAGCCCAACUGACAGUCCUCUUAUCCUCUGCGCUACACCUGGCUGUGGCAUACUAAUGUCAGAGCAAUGACCUAGAUUUUUAUUCUUGCAGCACAGCAAAAUCAAAGUGUUGAGGUUUUGCCACUUGUGGCGUCAUCGCCUAUGAGAUAUCCGUCUUUUAGCGACGUUAGAACAAAGGAGUGUCAACAAAGAACAUAUUCGUAUAAUAUCCAGCGCUUGACCAAGAGAAGAAGAGCAGAAGAAAAGCCGACCUAUUUUUUUUUUUACUGCGCUGUAAUUUACAUACGUACAUGGAAUGCAACAUGACCAUCAACAAAAUCUUGAUCCAAAUCGCUGAUACCAGGGUAGAAUCAGUUUUAGAUGGAUGCUAGCAUGGUGAGAUUUUUCGGGUUUUCCCUUCAGGGGGUCGUCACAGCAAAUCAAUCGCCUCCAUCCAACCCAUCUGUCUCUCUCACACAUCCAAAAACCUCCUCUUUGGUCUUCCUAAGCGCACCAUCCUUCUACCAAUAUAUUCACUAUCUCUGCUCUGGACAUGUCCCAACCAUCUCAGUCUGGCCUCUCUGACUUUAUCUCCAAGGACUCUUACAUGUAAUGUCCCUCUGAUGAACUCGUUCCUGAUCCUAUCCAUCCUGGUCACUCCCAGGAUCCUCAUUUUUGCUACCUCCAGUUCUGCUUUCUGUCGUUUCCUCACUGGCACUGUCUCGAGACCAAACAACAUCGCCGGUCUCACCACGGUUUUGUAUACCAUUGGAUACCAAAAAUACCAAAGGAUUUGAAUGAGAGUCAAUUCAAGAUGCUUCGAUCAAUCAGCCACUGAUCAGUAUCAGUAUCAGAAUUUGCUCAGAAAUUAUUAAAUUGUUCACUUUUUUUGUUUUGCCAACAAUCUUUGUCAGAUAUUUUAUUAUGAUUAUGAUCAUGAUCAAUAAAUCAUUCAAUGAGCUUGAAAAGUGUCCGAGUAACUUGGUAUUGGUGUUGGUGUUGGUAUUGGUAUUGGUAUUGGUAUUGGUAUUGGCAUUGGCAUUAGUAUUGGUAUUGGUAUUGGUAUCGGUACUGGUACUGGUACUGGUACUGGUACUGGUAUUGGUAUUGGUAUUGGUAUUGGCAAUGGUAUUUUUGUUGGUAUUGUUGUUGGUAUUGAUAUUGGCAAUGGUAUUGGUACCGGUAUUGUUGUUGGUAUUGGUAUUGGCAUUGGUAUUGUUGUUGGUAUUGAUGUUGGUAUUGGCAUUGGUAUUGGUAUUGUUGGUAUUGGCGUUGGUAUUGGUAUUGUUGUUGGUAUUGGUAUUGGUACUGGUAUUGGUAUUGGUAUUGGCAAUGGUAUUGGUAUUGGUAUUGGCAAUGGUAUUUUUGUUGGUAUUGUUGUUGGUAUUGAUAUUGGCAAUGGUAUUGGUACUGGUAUUGUUGUUGGUAUUGGUAUUGAUGUUGGUAUUGGUACUGGUAUUGGUAUUGUUGUUGGUAUUGGCGUUGGUAUUGGCAUUGGUAUUGGUAUUGGUAUUGGCAAUGGUAUUGGUAUUGUUGUUGGUAUUGGUAUUGGUAUUGGCAAUGGUAUUGGUAUUGAUGUUGGUAUUGGUAUUGGUAUUGGCAGUGGUAUUGGUAUUGAUGUUGGUAUUGGUGUUGGUAUUGGCAAUGGUAUUGGCAACGGUAUUGGCAAUGGUAUUGGCAAUGUUAUUGGUGUUGGUAUUGGCAUUGGUAUUGGUACUGGAGUUGGUAUUGGCAUCGGCAUUGGUACUGGCGUUGGUAUUGGCGUUACUAGCCCUGACUUGACUUGGUAUUGGAUUGAUACCAAAAUGAGUUGUAUCGCACCCUCCUUUCCUUUUAAGACCCAGUAAGAAGUAAGAGUGGAAUAAUGUUUAAUAUGGCAGCAGCUGCAGCCAUGUGAUAUUUAAACUACUCUUCUCAGGAGAAUUUUCACAUGUAUUUGAAAGGAACAGCUGCACACAUUCCGCAUUCAAUGAAUUCUGAGUGGGCUCCGAAUGGAGAGAUGAUCUCAAUCAUUUUUGUAGGCAACAAUUAAUAGAUUGUUUAAUCCCUUGGUAGAAUGGAAAAAAGGCAAGGGAUAUUAUGGUCGAUAUGCCAGACGUCCCUUCUUGUCAGUGUCUCCUUCAGUGUUCAGCCCUCUCUGUUUGCCACAACUGCUCUUCACCUCUCAUCAUCUCAUCUUUACCAAUUUCCCUCCUCCUCCCGGGGUCGACUUCUAAGCCUGAAGGCAUGUGGUUUCCCUGGAUGGAAAUUCAAACGGUACUCCACACUUGUUUCACCGCAGAUGAAAAAAGCAUCGAGGUGGCCUGCUGGGAUCCGGAAGGCUAAACCUUGAAUAACCUAAUGAUAUUUUGUAUUAAAAAAUGUUUUGGCUAAUUGGUGGCCACCUGCCAGAGAACACCACCUGCCCAUCCAGACCCCAGAGAGGGCCAGGCCAAGCCCGCUGUGAACUGGUGGGGCUGGCGGCACACCUGGGCCCCUUAAGAUGGGUCCUCUUAUGAUCAUCAAUUGUGAAUGUGUUUGAUUUUUAUAUUUUUUACUAACAAACUGAUGAAUAAUUGAAGUGAGAAUGGGAGACCCGAGUUCGAUUCCACUCUCGGCCAUGUCUGUGUGGAGUUUGAAUGUUCUCCCCGCGCAUGCGUGGGUUUACUCCGGUUUCCUCCCACAUUCCAAAAACAUGCUAGGUUAAUUGGCGACUCCAAAUU